rnacentral:rRNA from 1 species
CGAACGCUGGCGGCGUGCCUAACACAUGCAAGUCGAACGAGAAAGUCACUUCGGUGGCGAGUAUAGUGGCGCACGGGUGAGUAACACGUAGGUGACCUGCCCUUUAGUUUGGAAUAACCAAGAGAAAUUUUGGCUAAUACCGGAUAAGAAAAGCAAUUUUGGAAGUAGCUUUUGAAAGGAUGCCUCUGCAUAUGCAUUCGCUGAAGGAUGGGCCUGCGGGACAUUAGCUUGAUGGUGGGGUAACGGCUUACCAUGGCAACGAUGUCUAGCCGGAUUGAGAGAUUGAUCGGCCACACUGGGACUGAGACACGGCCCAGACUCCUACGGGAGGCAGCAGUGGGGAAUAUUGCGCAAUGGACGAAAGUCUGACGCAGCAACGCCGCGUGAGGGAGGAAGGUUCUCGGAUUGUAAACCUCUGUCAACGUGGAAGAACGGGCAUUCAUCUAAUAGGUGUUUGUUUUGACGGUACACGUAAAGGAAGCACCGGCUAACUUC